UCCCAUGUGUCUCAGUUGGUAGAGCAUGGUGUUUGCAACGCCAGGGUUGUGGGUUCGAUUCCCACGGGGGAC
rfam:Salmo salar isolate Sally breed double haploid chromosome ssa09, whole genome shotgun sequence.